UGGCCUUCUGGGCAAGGUGUCUUUGCACUAAAUCCUGUCUACUCAAACAACCCUGCUGCCAUGCUCCGGAGCUGGAGAGGAAGUGAAAGUCACUUGCAAGUCGCCAGAAACAAAUACAGAGCAGACGAAGCAAACAAGCUAGCUAACUUGUUUGCAGAUAAACUGUCCUGGUAGCAGGGUCAGCAUUUUCACCAUUUUCAGAAAAUGUAGACAGAAACAAGCAUCAUUCUCAGUUCUUGGAUCUGAAUCAACUCGACCCCAAAAGAGAAAAAGAAGCACGAAAAAGACUGCUCAUGACCAAUCCAGAAACCGGAUAGACAUUGGAAUUAAUUUUGAAAGGUAGAAGAGUGUUGCCGAAAUGGCCACCAUCCUCAUGAACAGGGAGAUACUGGUGGAGACAGUCUGAUUUCGAAGGGAACCUGAGGUUGUAGAAGUUGUGGUUGUGGAAAAUUCCAAAAGAGAGUAUGUGGACCAGUGCACAGGCCACCUCUUCUUUACUCUUCACGCUCAGUAGAGGCUCCAGCACCGCACACAAAGUCCGGUAGUUAUUGGUAACAUACUCGGCAAACUCCUUGUACAGCUCCAUGGGCAGGAUGCUCAUGGUCUGGUAACGGGAUUUGAGGCGUAGGGAGGCAUUGAUGAUCUUGCCCCCUGCUUGCCCCUUGGCCAGGACGCUAGGCUGGAUGACCGGGUACCACUGCUCCACAAACUGUCGGCCCGUGAUGCUGGAGAUAGGGAUACUGACCAGUCCCAGUCUCCUUGUAGAGAUGAAGGCGUAGGUUGCGGACGGCUGGCAAGUUGUUGAACUCAAAGUGCUCGCCCCAGAACACGGUGUCAGUCCGGGGCUUGCUGGUGGUGCGUGCGUAAAGC